UACGGGGGGGGCAAGCGUUGUUCGGAAUUACUGGGCGUAAAGGGCUCGUAGGCGGCCAACUAAGUCGGACGUGAAAUCCCCAGGCUCAACCUGGGAACUGCGUCUGAUACUGGAUGGCUCGAGAUUGGGAGAGGGAUGCGGAAUUCCAGGUGUAGCGGUGAAAUGCGUAGAUAUCUGGAGGAACACCGGUGGCGAAGGCGGCAUCCUGGACCAACACUGACGCUGAGGAGCGAAAGCCAGGGGAGCAAACGGG
rnacentral:rRNA from 1 species